UUUUGUGUUUUGCUCUCAACGUUUAUUUUGGCCUUCUUUUCCUGGCCAAAUGAUUUAAUUUCAUGCAUUUCGCUUUGCGGCAAUGGCGAUGCUUAUUAGUUGCAAUUUGCCAGCUGGGGCCAAAGUUUGCUCUAGCCGAAAACCAACAGCAAGCCACACAAAAUAAACCAAAUAAAUUUAAUAAUUGCUGUCCUGAGAAGUUGAUAGGAUGGGUAAAAAUAAAGGAGGCGGAGGCGGCGGUGGUGGAGGCGGAGGAGGUGGUGGUGGUGGAGGAGGCGGUGGCGGCAAUGUAAGCAAUAUUUGUGUUAUGCAACUUGCGUACUAAUUAAAAAGGGCGGUGGCGGUGGAGGCGGAGGUGGAUCCGGAAAUAAAAACAAAGGAGGCGAUGGAGGCGGUGCUGACAAAGGUGGAGCCAAGAAAGGACAGGACCAAAAGGCAGCCGCAGGCGGCGGCAAGAAAGGAGGCAAGAAAUAACAACGGUAGCAACAUCAAAGCGCAUUAAAAAUUACAAAUUUAGAGUUAAGUUGAAAUUAAAAGUGAUAUCAUAAUAUAUGUAUCUAUAAUGUA